rnacentral:rRNA from 1 species
CCUACGGGGGGCAGCAGUGGGGAAUAUUGGACAAUGGGGGCAACCCUGAUCCAGCCAUGCCGCGUGUGUGAAGAAGGCCCUCGGGUUGUAAAGCACUUUCAGUGAGGAAGAACGCCUGGUGGUUAAUACCCAUCAGGAAAGACAUCACUCACAGAAGAAGCACCGGCUAACUCCGUGCCAGCAGCCGCGGUAAUACGGAGGGUGCGAGCGUUAAUCGGAAUUACUGGGCGUAAAGCGCGCGUAGGUGGCUUGAUAAGCCGGUUGUGAAAGCCCCGGGCUCAACCUGGGAACGGCAUCCGGAACUGUCAAGCUAGAGUGCAGGAGAGGAAGGUAGAAUUCCCGGUGUAGCGGUGAAGUGCGUAGAGAUCGGGAGGAAUACCAGUGGCGAAGGCGGCCUUCUGGACUGACACUGACACUGAGGUGCGAAAGCGUGGGUAGCAAACAGGAUUAGAUACCCCUGUAGUC